AUUGAACGCUGGCGGCAUGCCUAACACAUGCAAGUCGAGCGAGCGGCGGACGGGUGAGUAUUGUAUGGGGACUGCCCGAUAGAGGGGGAUAACUACUGGGAAAGGUCGCUAAUACCGCAUACUAUCGGAUAACACCUAUGGGAUUAGCUAGUAGGUGAGGGAAUGGCUCACCUAGGCGACGAUCCCUAGCUGGUCUGAGAGGAUGAUAAGCCACACUGGGACUGAGACACGGUCCAUACUCAUACGGAGGCAGAAGUGGGGAAUAUUGCACAAUGGGCGCAAGCCUGAUGCAGCCAUGCCGCGUGUAUGAAGAAGGCCCUAGGGUGGUAAAGUACUUUCAGUCGGGAGGCGUUACCGACAGAAGAAGCACCGGCUAACUCCGUGCCAGCAGCCGCGAUAAUAC
rnacentral:rRNA from 1 species